UAUGGCUCAGAUUGAACGCUGGCGGCAGGCCUAACACAUGCAAGUCGAGCGGCAGCGACAACAUUGGACCUUCGGGGGAUUUGUUGGGCGGCGAGCGGCGGACGGGUGAGUAAUGCUUGGGAAUAUGCCUUAUGGUGGGGGACAACAGUUGGAAACGACUGCUAAUACCGCAUGAUGUCUACGGACCAAAGUGGGGGACCUUCGGGCCUCACGCCAUAAGAUUAGCCCAAGUGGGAUUAGCUAGUUGGUGAGGUAAUGGCUCACCAAGGCGACGAUCCCUAGCUGGUUUGAGAGGAUGAUCAGCCACACUGGGACUGAGACACGGCCCAGACUCCUACGGGAGGCAGCAGUGGGGAAUAUUGCACAAUGGGCGCAAGCCUGAUGCAGCCAUGCCGCGUGUGUGAAGAAGGCCUUCGGGUUGUAAAGCACUUUCAGUAAGGAGGAAAGGUUAAGUGUUAAUAGCACUUAGCUGUGACGUUACUUACAGAAGAAGCACCGGCUAACUCCGUGC
rnacentral:rRNA from 1 species